rnacentral:rRNA from 1 species
CGAAAGGGUGAGUAACACGUGAGUAACCUGCCUUACACAAGGGGAUAGCCUUUGGAAACGAAGAAUAAUACCCUAUAAAGUCAAAAUAUCGCAUGAUAUAGUGACCAAAGAUUUAUCGGUGUAAGAUGGACUUGCGUCUGAUUAGCUAGUUGGUGAGAUAAAAGCCCACCAAGGCGACGAUCAGUAGCCGGCUUGAGAGAGUGUACGGCCACAUUGGGACUGAGACACGGCCCAA